rnacentral:rRNA from 1 species
UACGUAGGGGGCAAGCGUUGUCCGGAAUUAUUGGGCGUAAAGCGCGCGCAGGCGGCUGAGUAAAUCUCGUGUUUAAUCCCGGAGCUCAACUCCGGGUCGCACGUGAAACUGCUUAGCUUGAGUGCAAAAGAGGAGAGCGGAAUUCCACGUGUAGCGGUGAAAUGCGUAGAGAUGUGGAGGAACACCAGUGGCGAAGGCGGCUCUCUGGUUUGUAACUGACGCUGAGGCGCGAAAGCGUGGGUAGCGAACAGG